GACGAACGCUGGCGGCGUGCUUAACACAUGCAAGUCGAACGGAAAGGCCCUGCUUUUGUGGGGUGCUCGAGUGGCGAACGGGUGAGUAACACGUGAGUAACCUGCCCUUGACUUUGGGAUAACUUCAGGAAACUGGGGCUAAUACCGGAUAGGAGCUCCUGCUGCAUGGUGGGGGUUGGAAAGUUUCGGCGGUUGGGGAUGGACUCGCGGCUUAUCAGCUUGUUGGUGGGGUAGUGGCUUACCAAGGCUUUGACGGGUAGCCGGCCUGAGAGGGUGACCGGCCACAUUGGGACUGAGAUGCGGCGGAGACUCCUACGGGGGGCAGCAGUGGGGAAUAUUGCACAAUGGGCGGAAGCCUGAUGCAGCAGCGCCGCGUGGGGGAUGACGGCGUUCGGGUUGAAAACCGCUUUCGCCUGUGACGAAGCGUGAGUGACGGUAAGGGGAAAAGAAGCAGCGGCAAACUACG
rnacentral:rRNA from 1 species